rnacentral:rRNA from 1 species
GACGAACGCUGGCGGCGUGCUUAACACAUGCAAGUCGAACGGAAAGGCCUUUUCGGAGGUACUCGAGUGGCGAACGGGUGCGUAACACGUGGGUGAUCUGCCCUGCACUCUGGGAUAAGCCUGGGAAACUGGGUCUAAUACCGGAUAGGACCGCACUUUAGUGUGUGUGGUGGAAAGUUUUUUCGGUGUAGGAUGAGCCCGCGGCCUAUCAGCUUGUUGGUGGGGUAAUGGCCUACCAAGGCGGCGACGGGUAGCCGGACUGAGAGGUUGGUCGGCCACAGUGGGACUGAGAUACGGCCCAGACUCCGACGGGAGGCAGCAGUGGGGAAGAUUGCACAAUGGGCGCAAGCCUGAUGCAGCGACGCCGCGUGGGGGAGGACGGCCUUCGGGUUGUAAACUCCUUUCGCCAGGGACGAAGCGUUUUGUGACGGUACCUGGAGAAGAAGCACCGGCUAACUACGUG